GACGUAGGGGGCGAGCGUUAUCCGGAUUCACUGGGCGUAAAGGGCGCGUAGGCGGUUACGUAAGUCCGAUGUGAAAAGUCACGGCUCAACUGUGAUCGUGCAUCGGAUACUUCGUUGACUUGAGGUCGGUAGAGGCAAGUGGAACUAGCGGUGUAGCGGUGAAAUGCGCAGAUAUCGCUAGGAACGCCGGUGGCGAAGGCGACUUGCUGGGCCGUACCUGACGCUGAUGCGCGAAAGCUAGGGGAGCGAACCGG
rnacentral:rRNA from 2 species